UGUUAACAAGUAUCUCAGCUCCUCCUAACCCUCCCCAAAUCAUAUUGGAUAUCAUCAGGGAGGCCAACAUGAUCAUAUAAAGUUUUUCAUGUCUUAUUUUUCUUUUCACUUUCUAGAUGUAACAUUCUCAAUUUAUUUUUCCAUUUUAGAUCUGUGGCUGUGUAUGAUGUUCUGCUUCUACUCAUUUAGCUGUUCAUUAUUUAGUAUAGUUCUUUCCAGGGUUUUUUUUAAUCACUGUUCUUUUUAAUGGCACAACAGUAUUCCAUCACAUUCAUAAAAGAGUUUUUUUAAUCACAGUUCUUUUUAAAGGCACAAUAGUAUUCCAUCACAUGCAUAUGCCACAAUUUGUUUAGCCAUUCCCAAACUGGUGAGCAUCCCCUCAGUCUCCAGUUCUUUAAUUUUUUUCACCCCAAAGAGAGCUGCCCAAAACUUCUUAGAACAUAUGGGCUCUUUUCCUUUUUCCCUGAUCUCCUUGUGAAAAGGAAAAUAUCUUUAUUGUUCUUAUAUUAUUGAUGAUAAACCAAGUGAUCAUAUGUAAUCAUUUAGGUAGGUAACUCCAACUAUGAUUCUUAGAAAGAGUUAGACCUAAUUAGUAAACUGUGCAUAAGAUAUCAAUUAUAAUAAUAGAAUAUUAACCAUAGUAUUAUAAAGGAUAUAGUUUGGCGUAUUAGAAUAUUAUAGCUCCUGCAUAGAGUAAGAGCUUUUACUUGAAGAAUAAAUCUUCAGUUCUGUGAAAUCAUGAAGAGAAGCUGAAACUUGUGCAGUAGGAAAUAAGCUGCUCAUUUGGAAUGGUGUGUGUAGAGCUGGCCUGAUAAGAUCAUAGGAAAACAAACUUGGCAUGUCCAUAUUCUGUUUGAUCCUGUGAAAAUUUACUCAUUACAGGCUUCCUAGAGUAUUUAUGGCAGAAAAAAAUUGCUUUGACCUUAUGCUAAAAUUUAUAACUUUUAUCAAAUGUUACCAGAACUUAUUACCAACCAUUAUUACAUUUUCUAACAUACUCUGAACAUUUUGUCUUGUUAAUUACUUAUGUUAAUUAACUGUCAAAAACCUAUAAAAUACACUUUUGAAGAUAGAAAGAGGGUCUUUGGCACAGACUGGGCAUGGUGAGACCUCUAGCUUUAAUUUCCACAAUUAAAGAUGGACCUUCAGCUCAAAAUGAUGGUCCAGAGAUUUCUUUAUUUCCUAUACUUGGGAAAUAGAUCCAGAGUCUAUACACAGUUUUAUAACUCUCUGGGAGUAAUUCCAAAUUGCUAUCUAAAAUGGCUGGAUCAGUUCACAGUUCCACCAAUAGUGCAUUGGUGUCCCUAUUUUUCCACAUCCCUUUCAACAUUUGCCAUUUGAUCCUUUGGUCAUUUUAGCCAGUCUAAGAGUAAGGUAAUGUUUCAGAAUUGUUUUGGUUUGCAUUUCUCUAAUCAAUAGUUGUCUAUAAAGGUCUUAACCCUAGUUUCAUGAUAAUUCAAUUUGAUUCUUUUGAAGAAAAAUACACAAAUACUAUAUUCUGCAUCAAAGGCAUAAUUGCUGGAAACAAAUUUUAUCUAACAUUAUCCUAGAUCCAAGCAUUUCUAGUUGAGAAAAAUAUCCAAACCAGCAUAGCUUCACAAGCUGGGUUCCUUAAGAAGCCAGGCACAAAUCUCUCUCAUUUACAAGACGAGAGAAGUUAAAUGAGUAACCACCUUGGAAGAAAAGAAAUUAAUUAGUGUAUUUGAUUGCUUGGGUUGGUAGCAGCAUCAGCCUCUUUUGGUACAGAUUGGGAUUUUUAUAGCUUUUUAGGUAGUCUUAAAGUACCCAGGCUCCUAAAGCAGACAAGAAAUGGGGUUGGCAGACAUGGUUGAUGGGGAAAGAAGUGUGAAGACUUCAGAGUCUCAGGAGUUAAUAAAGAUCAGGUUUUCUCCUAUGGAAAAAGGCAUGUCUUUGUGAUUAGUAACUUCUAAAAUAGCUGAUGACUCCUUUAAAUUAGAAUCAAUACUAUUAUUUACCUUUAAAGGGAAUAAAACACCACCUGAGGGUAUCUAUUGACACAACCCCACAGCUCAGUUUCUUUGACCUCAGACAUUUUCCCAUGUGAAAUGUUUACCCCAGAUGUGCCAGAUUCAUGUUCUUCUUCCCCUUCAACCUUGCUCCCUAUUCCUAAAGGCAACAAUGGAGUUGUCUCUUCCAUUCUUGUGGUAUUUACAAUAAUUUUUUGCAUCUUGUGGUCUCGUCUUCAGCAGCCACCUUGGUCCAGGUCCUUCUCAAAAGUUUUUGUCACCAGGUCAAGUCAGGGUUGAUACCAAUCCUUCGCAAUGGAAGAUCUUCCUUACCAAAUCACUUUGUUCUUUCACUGUUCUUUCAAUAUAUGGCUUCCACUGGGUAGUGUAUAAUCCCAGGAGAUAGCCCUGACCUUUUUGCCUGGACCUUGACUUUUAAUUUGUGUACUGAGCUCCCAGCAAGGCAACUCCUUUUACCAAUGCAGCUUGGUACCUCUUCUGCAAUUUCCACUCUUAGAGAGUUCCUUGGGGCACUGAGAGAUUAAAUGACAUUAAAUUAGUCUCUGAAUGACUUACCUGGGUUCCCACCACAAAUAUGUAUCAAAAAUAGGACUUGAACCUACUUAACUCUGACUCUGAGCAGGAUUAAGGCAAAGUAUAAAAAAUGGAUUAUGACUUAUCUGAAUGAAAAGAGUGUGGCUGAAACAUCUCUGCCACACAAAUACCAGGCAGAUGCCUCAUGCUUACCUCUACAGGCAUUGAUCUCACUUCAAGGCUAUAGGUCUGAACUAUAGACAAAUCUUUCAUAUACCUUUAAUCCCAGGGGUCACUGCUGGCCUAAUAAAACCAAAUCAUCAGACUAAAGUUGAUUUCAUCAAGUGAGAGAUGCUGGGCCAAGCCUGCAGCUGCCUGGUUGCAACAGGGCAGCAACCUCUGGCACUGGGCUACAGGCACACAGUGAUUUCACCAACUACUCAGUUUAGCUUGUGCGGUGAUAUGAAAACAUUCAAUCUGAAGAAAUGUGUCAAGGGUAAAGCUUGGGAGGGAUCACCUUCUGUCCUGUCUUCUAGCAAUUAUUUUUCUGCCACAAAUGUGAAUUGACAGUCACAGCUGUGCCAUUACCAUGUCCCCCAAACCAGGUCAAAACAAAGGCCAUACCUGAGGGUAUGGGCCAAAGGAGAAUUGACCAAUAAAUAGAAAGCUGGGCCCAAACCAUCUUACUACUUUUCAGAGUUACUAACCAGAUAAGGUAAGCUCUAAAAGGCAAGGUUCUGGUUACAAUGUUAGGGACACUUAGGAGCCAUUGUUUUCAUGGCACUUGGCACUAGCCAUUAACCAUUAAAACUGAGGUUAUACCAGUUCUAAGUAACUAGGGCAUAGAUCCAUAAUCCAAGGGAUUAAUCCAAAGGACAGAAUGUUUCAUUGGUACCAGGCCUUGUCAGUAGGAAGACCUCAAGUGCUGACACCUAGGCUUGAAUACUAGGACAAAAAUCCACUGUGACACAACCACUAGGCUAAAGCCAAUAUAGGUCCACAGCACCUCCCUGAUGCUGUGAUAGGCUGUGACUGCUAGCUCACAAAGAUGACAAGAUUGAGUUUGCAAUAAGCCUUGGAAGCCUGUCCCAUUGAAAAGUUAGGCCUGAGCAAUGGAAUGAAGUUCAUUUUGGAGUUCAACCACUAGUCCCUUGUCACUCUACUGGAUACCUAUCAUUAGGCACUGACUGUCCUAUACAGAGGCCUAGUUUUCUGGACCUCCUCUUUGCUGUGUCUUUAAUGAUCAAACAAAGGAAUCCAGAUUUCUGGACAACACCUCCAUUGGCCCUGGAUCACCAAAAAGGCUAUCUGGAACUCCUUACUAACAAGACUUCUAUAACAAUAUAAUUGUUAUAGAAUACUACUGUGCUAUAAGAAAUGACAAGCAGGAGGAGUUAAAAAAAAACCUGGAAAGACCUGAACUGAAGCAGAACUUGAAGAACAUUAUAUACAGUGACAGUAAUAUUGUAUAAUGAACAACUGUGAAUAACAUAUUCUCUCAGCAAUGUGCCAAAACUUUACCAAAGGGCUAAUGAUAAAAAAAUGUCAUUUACUUUCAGAAAAGAACUGAAUCUGAAUACAGACCAAAGCAAAUUUUUUCACUUUCUAAUUUUUUUCUAUGAGUUUCCUUCCCUCCCCCCCAAAAAAAUAUAGAAAAAAUGUUUUAUAUGACUGUAUAUGUAAAAUCUAUAUGAGACUACUCACCACCACCUCAAGAGUAGGGGGUUUUGGGGAUGAGGGAAGGAGAGAAUUCUAGACUAAAUAUUCUUUGAAAAAAUGUUGGAAAACUGUUUUGACAUGUAAUUGGGGGAAAAUUUUAAUUUAAUUAAAAGAAAAAAAGAAAUACCUUGGCUCAGAAUAUUUGAGUCCCAUAGAGUGACUGAUAGUAGGAAAUAUCUCAAAACUUAUCAAUAUAAAAGUAAAUGGCUAUUUUGAAAAGCUUUUUAAAAAAUGGAAUGGGAUAGCAGUUAUGUGCAAUUAUUAUCAAUGUAGCAAUGACCAUUUAGUUUUAAAUGGUAGUUACAUAUUAUCUUACUUUUAGAAAAAUGUAAAUAUAUAUUAACAGAAAUAUUUUACUUUGAAAUUUGUGAUUUUCUUGUUGUUUUAUUUUGAUUUUUUUGCAUAAUACCUACAUAAACUGUUUUAAAUGGUCUUAUGCAAUAUGUAGUAUAUAUAUUCGCAAUACAAAGUUAUUCUAAUCAAAUUACAGGGUAAAAUAAAAAUUCAUCAUUCAUAUUAAGCCUUUGUAUGUUCCUAUAAAAUUUCUUUAACUUCAUCAUCCCUACUUUCAUCUUUUAAUGCCAUCUUGGAUAGUGACAGUUAUAUUAGCAGAACCAACAUCUACAAUGAACAGAGUUUAAAAGUGAUCUACAAAAUCAAUGAAAGAAAAAUGAAAUAUUGGGAUGUGUCUCUAAAGAAAUAGUUAUUGGAAAUGUAAUGCAGUGGAUGAAUUAAUGGAAGAAUUUUCCAUUCUUGGAAUUCAGUGUCUUUACUGAAAGACCAAAACCAGUAACAAAGGAGUAUUCAUUAAUUAUCAUAAGCAUAAGUCAAUAACAUUUAAUCUCAUUGUCAAAGUGGAUUAAAACCAAAAACUUUGUUUUUGUUUGUCUGUUUGUAACCAAUAGGAGACAUUCAUUAAGCCAUGAUUGUGGUCAGGGAUGCUAGAAAAUCAGAGAAGAGUCAGGACAAGCCUUUAUCCUUCAAGAAAAUUAUACUCUACUCUUACAACACUUUAAAUAAGUUAUUCUGAGUGAUCUACAAAGGUUUUCCUAAAUUAUCCUAGUCCUUAAUAUAACUAUUUAUUGGACUUCAUUGCUUGCGGAAAGUGAAGAUUGCAAAAGAUAUCUCUGAAAUAGGUAUCUGGUAGUUUUGAAUACUGUUGUGGAUCAGGGAUCACAUAAUGGCCCCUCAGGAAUAACUAAGAUACAUUCUUCUGAUAUGGCCAAGGUUAGCCUUUCAUGUUCCAUUACAUGGAUCUUUCUUAUUAAUAUUCACAAGUUUUUUGUUGUCGUUCCUAUUUCAUUUUUGAAGAGGACCAAUGUCAACCCACGUGAGGUGUUACUUGUGCAUGAAUUGGAUUUAAGUGAGGUAGAGUUGCACAAAGUUGUUGGCAUCACACACUCAGAGUUGUGGAAAUCAAGUGGCAAGACAAAAGCCAAGAACACAAUGGUUCUGGAUGCAGUGCAUGAUUGGUGUCUAACUAAGCUCUGAGUGCUCCACUUAGAAGCAUCUGCUUCAUCUACGUUCAUUGCUAUUGGAACAUAUUGAUCUAAUCAGUCCCUUCUUGAGGGUGAUUCCCAGAUUAGAUUCUAACUCAUAUACAUUAUUCAUUUACAAAGAAGAUCCUUAAUAUAUGUCAUUUUAAAAGCUUUUUUCUAGAAUUGACUAAACUUGGCAAGAAUCUGUUUCCCUAAACUGUGGUUGUCUCAAAUUGCUCAAGUGUCUUUAUUAAAGUUGUGAAGUAGGAAAAUAAGUUUAAAAAUAAGUUUAAAAAAAUCACAAGUGGGAGGCCAAGAGGACCUCACAAGAGGUCUGUUCCACAAUUUCUCCACAGAUUUCUUGACUGAACAAAAAGGCAACAUGUCUGUCAAUCCCAGUAUUAAAAUGACAAAUCUGCAAAAAUGUUAUUUGGGAUAAGGAUCUUUUUCUAAUUAACCUUGGUCAACUUUGGAAGGCCCCUAAAAAAAGAAUAUAUAGUUCAUUUGGGUAGAAUCUGAAUUAAUGGCUCCACAAAUAAUUUUCAUUUUCUUAACAUAUAGCCUAUAACUUCCUUUUGUAGAUGCUCUGUACCAGCAUAUUCGAAUCUUUAACAAGUUUGAAUGCCCAGAGGGCAAAUACAAGCUGUCUGUGAGCCCCCACAUUACCUGAGAGAGAGCUGAGGGAGGAAGUGCUUGCUUUGGAUGACUAGACAGAGGAGUGGGGCAUGGAAAAAUUGUCCUCAGGAUCUGGGAAGAUGGGGAAUGGAGCAACUCCCUGAGUGCUGGCUCUGCAAGUGUGCCACAUCUUCACCAACAUCUAUAUAUGAGAUUUACAUUAGUUCAUGAAUAUUGCUAAAACAAAUUGAGAUUUUUAGCAAUUCACAGGUCCUGACAAUAAACAGCUAGCCCAAGAAGACCGUCUACCAUCAAUAAAAAUCACAGGAACCAAUGAAAGAGGCUGUUUCUGUUGCUAUGUAGUAAAUAUAUAAACAUGGAAACAAUUUGCUAGAAUUACAAAGGAUGCCAGAAAGAAUCCAUUGCAUCUGAUGCUUUCAUCAGAUUCCUGAGACAACUGAAGCCCAGCAAAGUUAAUGAUGACCCCCAUAUUCACACAGACAUUUAAGUAAGGGCCUAUCUCUGAGUCUCAAAAUAACAGUGCUCAUUCUAGGCUCCAAUAGAUAUAUUUGCUUCUGAAACACUGAAUAACUAACAUCAUUUGGAGCAAUCUGUGUUGCUUUAGGCAUCUGUCAGCAGAAAGUGGCAAGAAGAUGCUCAAACUGCAGCUUCAUUGGUAAAGGGAGUUUUUCAAUCUGGGAAUUCCUGAUAGAAUUCAUUACAAUUUCAUUCUUCAACCUCUUCCUAAUUCUCCUUUUCUUUCUAAAAGUUAACUAUUUCAAAUGUAUCCUCCCCUUUUUUCUUGCUGUCAAUUUUUUUCAGGAGACAUAGGACAAUACUCAUACCCUCCCUUACACUCUCCUAAGGGCUGAAGAACCCAAGGAGACCGAGUUCUUUUCUAAAACAAUGGUCCUUAUGAUGAGAAAUAUCCUGAAAUUGCCAAUAGAUUAUUGGCAUGGAUGGGAUAUGGACUGCUAAUUCUUUCCUGUUUAAACAGAAUCUUGUGCUAUCAGAAGUCUUUAGUGUCAUCUAAGCCUAGAAUCAAUGGAAAGAGCAUAUAGUACCCUAAUGGGAGGGUACAAACUGGAAUAAGAUGACGAGAGUGGAGACAAUCCUGAAUGAGUUUAUUGGACUAAAUUCUCUCUCAUAUUCAGAUGUUAUAACAGUUAAAACCGCUGCCAAUCUGUCUAGAUUUUAAUUACAUAUUGUUUCCAUAGCACCACAAAAGCCAAUCAGAUUCUCAUUAGCCAUCCAUCAUGAGACAGAAAUCACUCAAUCUCUGCAGUCCAUGUCAUUGAACUCUAAGACUUUUGAAUCAACUCUAGUCAAAACAGCAAGGUCCUAUGGAGUCUUUUAAUUAAUUGAUCAGCAUAUAAAGAGUCUCAUUUGGACUGAUCACUAAAAAAUUAAAUGGGUCAUAUCUAUUAAGAAAUCGAAUGGGGGUGGUGGUGUUAGAUAUAAUGUUCCUCUCCAGUCCCAGUAGCUGGGCCAACAACACUUUAAAGGCUACUAUUAUAAUGGUCCCUCAUUAUUAAAGUGAUUUCAAAAAGUCUUUUACAGACAUAUUCACCCUUAAUAUUUUUUUUGGGGUGGGGGAGGAGUUAUACCUCUAGGCACUAUUUAAAAUGGACCAUUGUCUUAUGCUUUAUCCCUUGACCCUUAGUACAAAGUUAACUAUUAUGCAUUUGUGAGCUAAGUUAGCUGCUCCCUACUACUGGUGAUCCCUUGUGCCUUGAUCUUUAAUAUCUGCUUCAAGACCUCACUGUAUUUCCUCUUCAUUUUUGGGAGUUCCAAUAAAAUAUAUGAUAGAGAGUACAAAUGUAAAUUCUGAAAUCAUUUAGUGCAAUAAGAAAUGUCAGGCAAUUUUAUGAUUGACUGGAUGAAUUGGUAGAAUAAUGUUCUCCUUUGCAGGGUCCUUUUACUGAUGUCCUAUUAUGCCUCUUAAGCUCUAAAACAAUGAUACUGAUGAUGAGAAAUAUUCUGAAUUGGCAAAUCAAUUAGAUUUUUUAGGACAAUUUCUCCACUAAUUUAAGCGUGCCUCUUGCUAAAGAAAUAUUCAGUAACUUCUCUGCAUGGAGUUCCUGAAAUAGAUAUCAUAUCAUCAGCCUUAGUGAGUAGGAAAAGGAUUAAGAAGAUGAGAGAAGUAACAAUUCUGGAAGAAUUUCUUCUCGGAUCAAGAAAACUGGGAUAAAAUUAUGUCUCAAAUAUAGAGUUAGAGAACACAAGCUAUCCUUCAAAAGCCCAGAGUUUAUUUUUUUCUUUCUUAUUUCAAUGUCUGACCCUAAAGUACAAACUUGGGAAGUGGUUAUUUUUUAGAAUGGGUUCAGAAUGUUUCCUGAACAUGAACAUGUAAAAACAAAUCCAUGUCUCUUGUGUAUGAUGUUUAAAUGUUCUUAUAAUCCAGAUUAUGUGAAAUAUUUUUCAAUUUAUUAAGAGUUUUAUAUGGAAGCCUUAAUUAAGGGAAAUGCUUACAAGAGGUGUUUGUAGCAAUGACAUCAUCCAGGUAGAGAUGUUUCUUGAAUUAAGUACUGGUUCAGGAACAUAAGAUUAACCCGUUCUUCUCCUAAGUCUUCUAAACCAAGGCAAAUUUAAAUUAAACACUGAAUGCAGUUACAUGGCUCUGAAAGAUUUGUAUUGAAUACUCAAAAUAUUUUGGAAAUAAUGAAUCAGAACAGUGUGAAUCCAUGGAAAGGCCUUAUAAAGUAUCAAUAGGAAAAUAGAGACCCAUUUUGAAGGAGUUUUUAAUAAAUGGAAUAGAUGUCUUAUCAAUUACUAUCUUUGUAGUGAUGACCAAUCCAUUUUAAAUGAUAAAUAUAUAUUGUCUAAUAUAUUUGUAGAGGUAUUUUAUUUCAGAUUUGUUUUUGCUUCUGUUUCAUUUUUAUUUUUUGUAUUAUGUAACUAUACACUUUAAAAUGCUCAUAUAGGCUAUAUAUCUUAGGCUUCUGUAGAGAUGUAGCUCUAAUGUAUUUUAGAGUUUAAAGUAGACGCUCACCCAUUCAUAAUGAUCCCCAUCAUCUAAACCUUGUAAGAAGAUACUUUUUCUCACCUUCUGUUUUUUUUUUUUGUUUGUUUGUUUGUUUUGUCCUUGGGCUUUAUAAAUGAUUUAUACCACAUGUACCAUCAUCUACAAUAAAAAAUGUUAAAUGCAAUUUGACUACUACAUCUGUAUCCCAAAGAGAUCAAAUAAAAAGGAAAAGGACCUCUAAAACUACAAAAAUAUUCAUAGUAGCUCCUUUUUGGUGAUAAAGAAUUGGAAAUUGAGGGUAUCAACAUGGAAUCUAAGAGAACCUCAAGUUUUAGAGUUAGCUUGUAAGAUGGAGACCCCAAGUUUUCCCUUUUGUCCCAUGAGACUUUGCCUCUAGGGAGGUCACAGAUUCUGCCAGUUUCAGACUGAAAAAUAGACCCUAACAUUAAUGAUAAUUAGAUGGGGUUAAGAAAUGCUAAGUAUUCUUUUUGUCUUAGUAGACUUAGUAGAGAUCCUUCCCAAGAAGACCAACCCCUGGGCAGGGACCAUCUUUUUAGUGUCCAUUGUAAGUAGUCCAUUCCCUUACACCCUCCCCUCUGGCUAUGGUUCCUUUCCCAAGCCUGUCAGUGUAGUUCAGUGAUGGGCAACCUUUUGAGCUUGGUGUGUCCAAAUUCACCAAAAAAACCGAGCAUAACUCGGGUGGUGUGUCAUUUCGAGAAAAAAACCAUAAUUUUGCGAUAUUUAAGUUUAAAUAACAAAAAUAUAUAAUUGUACUGUAUUUAAUAAACCAAAAACUAAUUAUUUAUCAUUCCUGCUCAGUCAGUCAGUUUAUUUUGUUGGUCUUGAUAUUAUUUAACUUGUGUGGGUUGCUGUGAACUAAGAUAAGUGAGGGGGAGGGGGAAUUCUUUAACUAACUGGCCUAUUAGUGACUUUUUUGUUGCUGAAUUUAAUUGGCUAAAUCUUCAGUUGAAGGUUGGUAUUUUGUACACUUCAAGCCUAAGCAAGUGCUACUAACUUCAUCUGUCAAUCUAUUUCUUUUGUUGGUUUUGAUAUUAUUUAACACUGCGAAUAAGGUCUCACAAAAGUACGUAGAGGGAAAAAUUGUGAAUAAGCCAUUGCUAUAUUUUUCAGGGUGCUAAAAGCGUCUGGUAAUCAGUUCCAGGCACUCCUCCAUUGCAAGUGGGCUGGAGUCCCGCACAGUCUUCCACUGGCUGGUCCCUGUCCCUUCCCUUCCCAUGCCAACUGUCAGGUGUGGGGGUGCUGCAGCUACUAGCUGCCAGUCUGCUUGCCAGGGCAUGCUCCUUUUGCAGGGACACACUCCUUCUUCCUAUCUCCACGGGAACCCCACAAGCCCCAACCACCUGGCAGGUGCUGCACACUGCUCUCUCCCCACUACUCUCCCCCUCCCCUGUGGUCAGUGUAUGGAACAUCCCUCCUCCGGGACCAGGCCAGGAUAUGGCCAUGGCCAGGGCUUCAGGCACACAGCUCUCAGGCCCCAAGGUGCACUGAGCCUGAAUGAAGCUGUGUGUUAUAGAAAAUGUGUGUCAAUGAUGACAAAUGUGUCAUAGGUUCGCCAUCAUGGGUGUAGUUUGAACACUCCCAUUUUCUUGUAGCCAUGGCAAUGUCAAUCAAUCGUAUUUCCUUGGCCCUCAAUCCCUCCCUAAAAGUAUAUAAGCUUUCCAAUUUCUUUUAUUCUUGGGAGCUGUCAAUAUAGCAUGGUUGGCAAGUUCCCAGGGGUCAGUGGCCAAAGCAGCCAGAGUCUUGGAGCUCUGUGUGGGUUUGUGGCCCCCAGUUCUAUGUGAAGGCCUUUAGGAAAUAUGCCAAACCCCUUUCCUUAAUUAAAAAAGUGAUUUUUCUGUUAAUAGUUCUGUGUUUUUUUCCAGUUUAACAAGGGAAUGCUUAUUAAUUGGGGAAUGGAUGAACCAGUUGUGGAAUAUGAUUGUGAUGCUACUGGAGGUGGGGGUGUGCUUUCAAGAAAAAACAACAACAUGGCAAGAUCUAUAUGAACUGAUGCAAAGUGAAGUGAGAAGAGCUUGGGCACAGAGUAAUGUAAUGUUGAUCAACUGUGAAAGGUCUUAGUUACUCAAAUCAUUUCAAUAAUCCAAGAUAGUUACAAAGGACUCAUAAUGGGAAAAAUGCUAAUCACCUCCAAAGAAAUAACUAAUAAACUCUUGAGUGCAAAUUGAAGUAUAAUUUUUUUCAUUUUCUUAAUUUUUAUUGCUUUAAAAAUGAGUUAAUAUGGAAAUAUCUUGGAUAGUUUUGCAAGUAUAACUGACAUCACAUUGCUUGCCUUCUCAAUGAGUGUGGAGGGAGAAAGAAAAUAUGGAAUUCAAAUUGUUUUUUAAAAGUAGGAUAUUAAAAAUAAGUAUAUUUUUAAAGUUAAAAAAUGAAUUUCUAGAUCUAAUAUUACUCAUUUAUUAAAGAAUAGUACUAGCCCUACCUCCAUCAUUAAACAUGGAAAAUCUCCUCUGUCUUGUCCUUUCUUGGGCACACUAAGGGAGUUGUGAGGGAUCAGAGGAAGUAACAUUUGAAAUUAGUCAGUGAAGACAAUUACUCUGAACAAUUCUGACCAAGUCCAUUGGAUAUCUGAGCCUCAACCUUCUUUGUAGUGAUUUUGUUAUUUUUCAUUGGUGUCUGACUCAUCCUGACCCCAUUUGGGGUUUUCUAGGCAAAGAGUAAUUUGCCUUACCCUUUUCCAGAUCAUUUUAAAGAUGAGGAAACUGUGGCAAAGAACGUUAGGUGGCUGCCCAGGGUCACACAACUAAUAAGCACCUGAGCCCAGAUUUGAUCUCUGGGAGAUGAGUCUCCCUGAUUUCCAUCCUCCACUCCAUCCACCACACUACCUAGCUACCCUGAGUUCACUUGUAUGUAAAAUACGGAGGUCUUAGACAACAAUAAAGUUUAGGUCUUUUGACAGCAGAACAGUAUUCCCCUCCCCAAAGCAGACUAGAUAAAUUCCCAUUCUGUCAGUCUGUACCCACAUAGGCUCUCCAUAUUCCCUAUCAGACUUAAAUGAACUCUUCUCUUGGAGAGUUUGACCACAAACAAGUAUUUAGUUAGAAAAGCAGUUCUAGGUCAUAGACAACCUUUCAUAACAACAUUCGAAUUCGAAAGAAAUCUCUAAAGAACUGUAUUUCGAAAAAUGAUCCCAUCGGGUGUGUCAGUUACUUGAAUUAAAAUAUCCCCUAUCUCCUUCUUACCCGGGGAAAAAAGUCGGGAAAGUAAAAACCCAAGAACGACCUCAGGGAAUUUUGGACUCUCUUUUCUUCUUCCUUCCCAUCUGCUAGGCGAGGCACAGUGCCUCCCGCCCUCCUUGGCUACUGUGUAGCACUCUGAUCUGCUCCUGCACUUGAAGGGCCGCGAUCAGGUGGCUCCGAAGCUUACUUCAAAGGCAUUUUCCUCUGGGCGAUGGGACCCGAUUCUCCUCCGCCAAGAAGGUGUCCUCCUUCUUUCCGAGCUUAAGCUGCUCCCCAGUCAGAUGAUUUUCCCGUGUCCUAGGAAGGUAGUGGACACGAACCCCCAGGAAGCAUAACCAAGAUGCCUUAUGCCUCCUUCUCUUUUCCUUCGUUCUGUACUCCAGAACGCAGUUUCGGUUUUAGGUUUUACCUCAAAACAUCUGCAGCAUAAAUUGCCAGGCUGGACCGGGCUCAGUUUUCUUGCCUCUCAAUGGGGCGGGGCUAUCUCUCCGCCAGUGAAAGCCUAGGGCCACCCCGAAGUCCUGCCAAGAAUCUGAGAAUUACAUGCCUGCGGAGUAGCUGGUGAGACAGAUGGGUGCUGCAUGGAAACUUGAGGUGAUUACAGCGACUCUGAUGUGAUUCGAACGACUCCCCUGGGUGAAAUCCUCAGAUCUCUUUACCUUCCUUCACACUCACCCACCUACCCACCCCCAGUGACUGAAGCCUCAUUGCCCAAAAGCGUUAGAAGUCUCUACGGCGCAGGUGAAGUCUGUCUGGAGGGAGAGGCCGGGACCCUUUGGGAACCUGCUUUUUUGUGAUUUUGAGCUAGGUGGAGCAAAGCACCAGUCAAGCUUCAAGCAAGGACAGCACUGCAGUUGGGUGAGAGAUAGUGGAAAAACGAGGUUGGCGUCCCCUACUGGAGAGCUGACUUCGAGGGAGACGUGGCUUCAAAGCUGCGCCCUUCUGGGUUUAGAACCCAGUCUCUGGGCUUUUAGCUUCUCCUCGAAGGGCUAUCCUUUUCGUCCAGCAGCUGAAGGUGGAGCUUUGAGGGUGUUCCUGGGGAAGAAUUAGGCCAUAGUUUUCCUUCUCGGGUUCAAGGAACUGGAAUCCUCACUUUUUAAAGAGAGACCCGAAUGGCUCAUUUCAGGUUGACUUUAUUUUAAAGUAUGGGGAGAAAGAAGGAAUAGAGGGUGGAGAAGACGAACACUUUUUUUUUUUUAAUUCCUCCCGGGACGCUAGUCUCCUUGAGAGAGGACUGUGAGCUUGGGAUAGAGAAUGAUUAGGUGCUGUUCCUGAAGGAGAGAGAAGACAGCCAAAGGAAAGGAGGGAGGAGCCUUUAAAGACCUAAUGGCCGGGCGGACUCAAUCCGACUGGAAAGGGCAGUCUGCCAACCGCACCUCCAGCGCAUAACUCUGGGGCGCCCAGAACCAGCAGGGGGACGCCUUUGACCCACAUGGAGGGGAGAUAAGGACUUGACAUGGCACUGAUAGAGUUGUCAGCUCUUCUUCCCCACCCCCUCUGCCCCACUUGCCAUCCAGAACUACUAUUUGCCUCUGGUCAUCUUUUUUAAAGGACAAGAAAGGUAGUUCUUACAGUUGAUUUGACUUCACUUUGAAAUUGGAAAGUGAACUAUCCAGAAGCACUCAUAGCAAUUUAAACAUUUAAUUGUAUCAUUGAAGGGAAAUAAUAAUUAUAUUUUUGUCAUUUGACUUAAUCAACUGCCAAAAUAUACAAUAAAGUAACUGAUCAAGACUCA